UCCUUGGUGGUCCAGUGGCUAAGACUCCACACUCGUAAUGCAGGGGCCCCGGGUUCAAUCUCUGGUCAGGGAA
rnacentral:tRNA from 1 species